rnacentral:misc_RNA from 1 species
GGAAAAUAUGAGUUAGCGUAAUAUAUAUCAAUUUUAUUUUUUUAAAUUGUGUGAAAGAAUGAAAGUGACAAUUUUUAUGAGAUAAAUGGAAUAUAUAAAAAUGUAAAUAAUUAAAAUGUAAAAAAGAGAGAUUUGAUCACAUUGCGAAUUCUUUACUUUCAUCUUUUCAUAAAAAGAAAAUGAAGAACUAAAACAAGAUCUCCCACAAGAAUUCAAAAAUUUUUUUUUAACGUAUGUGAAGGAUUAUAGAUGGCAGAUCAUUAAUAUAGAAAUUAAAUAGUGCAUUAGACAUUCAUUAAAAAAAAUAAUUAAGCAACAUUUAAAAAAAUAAAAAAAAGUUAUAGGAGAUUAUAGGAUAGAUGCGCGAACAUAAUAACUCAAAAAGUUAAAUAACGAUUGGUUAAAACCUGAAAGCAGUUUCACAUGCAUGGGGAUAAGAUCAGCUUUCCAAUUAUCAAAACGUGUACGUUCCUUGCACGGCAUGGUGCGCGCACCUGCUAUUCCUGCGCCUAGCAAAUUCCACCUUCACCAACCUCUCGAUCUCUCUCUCUCUCUCU